AAUCCAUGGUGUAGACACCUUCUCAGCAAAUCCUUAAAUCUAUCCCAAGCUUCAUCAAGUGUUUUCAUAUCCAUCCGAGUAAACAUCUGGAUAUCAUUUCUUAGCUU